AUGUUCUCUGUAGCUCUGCUGCUGCUGCUGGCUGCUGCAUCCUGUGUGAAGUGUGAGCAGCUGACACAGCCAGCCUCUGUGACUGUGCAGCCAGGUCAACGUCUGACCAUCAGCUGUCAGGUCUCUUAUUCUCUGGGCUACUACACAGCUUGGAUCAGACAGCCUGCUGGAAAAGGACUGGAAUGGAUCGGGAUGAAAGAUACUGGAAGCUCAUACUACAAAGAUUCACUGAAGAACAAGUUUAGUAUUGAUUUAGACACUUCCAGUAAAACAGUGACUCUGAAUGGACAGAAUAUGCAGCCUGGAGACUCUGCUGUGUAUUACUGUGCCAGAGUCCCACAGUGA